AAGAGUAUCGUAUAGUGGUAAUACUACAAAUUUCAAAUUUGUAUACAGUGGUUCGAAUCCGCUUACUCUUG
rnacentral:tRNA from 1 species